AAGCCCCGGAGCCUUUAUGGGCUCUUCUUCAAACUUGCAAUUUGAUGUGAACUCACCACGGGACU
rnacentral:tRNA from 1 species